AACUUGAUUAGUCAUAAAAUCGAUUUUAAUCUACUUCUAGCCACAAAUUAAAGUGAUUUGUAAAAAAGUAAAAAAUUAAAGAGCAAAUGUCUAAACUCAAUAUCUUAUAGUUUUAUGAUAUUUAAACGGUUUUGAAUGCUCUGUUUCUCCGAUAUCUGCAAUUAAUGUCUAUUAUAAUUGUCGAUUUCAUUAUCGCAAAGCACAAGUUUCCAUCCUAUAUCGAAUAGUAACAGAUUAAUGCCGGUGUUAGCAGUAGUACAAACGUUCGUUCGAGCAGUAUGCAUAUGUGGCUUCUCGCAACUGCAAUUAUGUGUAUUUUUUUAUUUGCGAUAAAAAAAUCUUAUAAUAUCGAUUUUAAAAAUUGGCCGUUUUCCUCCUAAUUUUCAUACCACGAUGAAAUGCUUAGAAGAAUGAAAAAGGAAUCGCUUUAAUAAACUUUGGAAAUAUAUAUAUAUAUAUGUUCAUAUAUAUAUAUAUAUACACAGUACUUACGGUAUCGAAGAACUCGGUGAACUUGCUGAUGUAAUACCACCAACAUGUGUUGGCCAUUCGUAGCGCCAUAGCGUUGUUGGAGUAGUCGACCGGUUGGCACCGGAAACUGUAUCCUUUCGCCCAGCCACUCAUCAAAUACUAAAACAAGAAAAUGGUGGAAAGUGAGGACAAUAAAAGGGGGCGCAUUCACCGGCACGGGGACGGCUGCGAGUUAUACAGUUCCGACUGUACGACAAUCAGCGUAUAGAGCGCGAUCGCCCGCUUUUCACCGGGAAACUCUGUUCCUCCGCUCGCUUUGUUCGAUCAAGAAGCCAGCCGAAGGGGCGGAGACAGGCGACAAAAGAGUCCUCUCUCGGUUUCGGUUUCUCUUUCUCUCUCUCUCUCUCUCUCUCUCUCGCAAGAUUCUCGCUAUACUAUUUCAAAUUCUAAAAAGCCCGCGCGCUCCUUCGAGAAUUACGAACAAUAGUUUGUUUCCUGUAUCAUUUCGGCCGUUUUUGCAAUUUCUUCGGAAAAAGAAAAAAAAAAAAAAG